CAAUAGCGUAUACUAAUGUUGUUGCAGUUAAAAGCUCGUAGUCGGAUUUCAGUAUUAGGCCCUGCUUCCAAUACGGUUGAUAGUGGUCUUUACUUCCUUAACAGAAUCUUUCAUGUCAUUAAUUUGGCGUGUUUGGGGCCUGUUUCUUUUACUUUGAUGAAAAUUAGAGUGUUCAAAGCGGGUUUUCGCCUGAAUAUUACUCUUGGAAUAAUAAUAUAGGACUUUGGUUCUUUUUUGUUGGUGAACUAGAACCGAAGUAAUGAUUGAUAGGGACAGUUGGGGUCAUUCGUACUAUGAAGCGAGAGGUGAAAUUCUUGGACCUUUGUAUGACGAACUACUGCGAAAGCAUUUGACUAGGAUGUUCCCGUUGAUCAAGAACGAAAGUUGGGGGAUCGAAGACGAUCAGAUACC
rnacentral:rRNA from 1 species